CCUACGGGAGGCAGCAGUGGGGGAUAUUGCACAAUGGGGGGAACCCUGAUGCAGCGACGCCGCGUGGGUGAAGGAGUGCUUCGGCAUGUAAAGCCCUAUCGGCAGGGAAGAAGCAAGACGGUACCUGACUAAGAAGCCCCGGCUAACCACGUGCCAGCAGCCGCGGUAAUACGUAGGGGGCGAGCGUUAUCCGGGUUCACUGGGUGGAAAGGGAGCGUAGACGGCCAUGCAAGCCAGGGGUGAAAGCCCGGGGCCCAACCCCGGGACUGCCCUUGGAACUGCAUGGCUGGAGUUCGGGAGGGGCAGGCGGAAUUCCUGGUGUAGUGGUGAAAUGCGUAGAUAUCAGGAGGAACACCGGCGGCGAAGGCGGCCUGCUGGACCGCGACUGACGUUGAGGCUCGAAAGCGUGGGGAGCGAACAGGAUUAGAUACCCCUGUAGUC
rnacentral:rRNA from 1 species